rnacentral:rRNA from 1 species
GACGAACGCUGGCGGCGUGCCUAACACAUGCAAGUCGAACGGAAAGGCCCUGCUUUUGUGGGGUGCUCGAGUGGCGAACGGGUGAGUAACACGUGAGUAACCUGCCCUUGACUUUGGGAUAACUUCAGGAAACUGGGGCUAAUACCGGAUAGGAGCUCCUGCUGCAUGGUGGGGGUUGGAAAGGUUCGGCGGUUGGGGAUGGACUCGCGGCUUAUCAGCUUGUUGGUGGGGUAGUGGCUUACCAAGGCUUUGACGGGUAGCCGGCCUGAGAGGGUGACCGGCCACAUUGGGACUGAGAUACGGCCCAGACUCCUACGGGAGGCAGCAGUGGGGAAUAUUGCACAAUGGGCAGAAGCCUGAUGCAGCAACGCCGCGUGCGGGAUGACGGCCUUCGGGUUGUAAACCGCUUUCGCCUGUGACGAAGCGUGAGUGACGGUAAUGGGUAAAGAAGCACCGGCUAACUACGUG